GCACCAAUCGGACUGUUCUACG
rnacentral:miRNA from 1 species